rnacentral:rRNA from 1 species
CCUACGGGAGGCAGCAGUAGGGAAUUUUCCACAAUGGACGAAAGUCUGAUGGAGCAACGCCGCGUGGGUGAAGAAGGUUUUCGGCUCGUAAAACCCUGUUGGUAGAGAAGAAAGAUAGAGGGAGUAACUGGCCUUUAUUUGACGGUAAUUACUUAGAAAGUCACGGCUAACUACGUGCCAGCAGCCGCGGUAAUACGUAGGUGGCAAGCGUUAUCCGGAUUUAUUGGGCGUAAAGCGAGUGCAGGCGGUUCAAUAAGUCUGAUGUGAAAGCCUUCGGCUCAACCGGAGAAGUGCAUUAGAAACUGGUGGACUUGAGUGCAGAAGAGGAGAGUGGAACUCCAUGUGUAGCGGUGGAAUGCGUAGAUAUAUGGAAGAACACCAGUGGCGAAGGCGGCUCUCUGGUCUGUAACUGACGCUGAGGUUCGAAAGCAUGGGUAGCGAACAGGAUUAGAUACCCUUGUAGUC